rnacentral:rRNA from 1 species
AAAGCGUGCGCAGGCGGUUUUGUAAGUCUGUCGUGAAAGCCCCGGGCUUAACCUGGGAAUUGCGAUGGAGACUGCAAGGCUUGAAUCUGGCAGAGGGGGGUAGAAUUCCACGUGUAGCAGUGAAAUGCGUAGAGAUGUGGAGGAACACCGAUGGCGAAGGCAGCCCCCUGGGUCAAGAUUGACGCUCAUGCACGAAAGCGUGGGGAGCAAACAGGAUUAGAUACCCCGGU